rnacentral:rRNA from 1 species
GACGAACGCUGGCGGCGUGCUUAACACAUGCAAGUCGAGCGAGGCCCCUCCUUCGGGAGGGUGUCCUAGCGGCGAACGGGUGAGUAACACGUGGGCAACCUGCCCUCAGCUCUGGGAUAACUCCGGGAAACCGGGGCUAAUACCGGAUACGACCUCCACGGGCAUCUGCGGAGGUGGAAAGUUUUUCGGCUGAGGAUGGGCCCGCGGCCUAUCAGCUAGUUGGUGGGGUAGUGGCCCACCAAGGCGACGACGGGUAGCCGGCCUGAGAGGGCGACCGGCCACACUGGGACUGAGACACGGCCCAGACUCCUACGGGAGGCAGCAGUGGGGAAUAUUGCGCAAUGGGCGAAAGCCUGACGCAGCGACGCCGCGUGAGGGACGAAGGCCUUCGGGUUGUAAACCUCUUUCAGCAGGGACGAGGCGAAAGUGACGGUACCUGCAGAAGAAGCACCGGCCAACUACGUG